rnacentral:rRNA from 1 species
GCCCACGGUCACAUCGUCCUGAAUGCCCCUGGGCUCGUUGAAUGUCGCUGGCUAAGCAGGCUUGAUGAGCUCGGUUACCACCUAGAUGGGAGACCUCCUGGGGACACCAAGCGCUGUAGGCU